rnacentral:rRNA from 1 species
GACGAACGCUGGCGGCGUGCUUAACACAUGCAAGUCGAACGGAGCGAAUGAAAGCUUGCUUUUAUGAGCUUAGUGGCAAACGGGUGAGUAACACGUAGACAACCUGCCGACAGGAUGGGGACAACAUUCCGAAAGGAAUGCUAAUACCGAAUGAAGUCGAGGGAAGGCAUCUCCCUUCGAUGAAAGAUGGCCUCUAUAUAUAAGCUAUCACCUGUUGAUGGGUCUGCGUCUGAUUAGCUGGUAGGUGAGGUAACGGCUCACCUAGGCGACGAUCAGUAGCCGGUCUGAGAGGAUGAACGGCCACAUUGGGACUGAGACACGGCCCAGACUCCUACGGGAGGCAGCAGUGGGGAAUCUUCCGCAAUGGGCGCAAGCCUGACGGAGCAACGCCGCGUGAGUGAAGAAGGUCUUCGGAUCGUAAAGCUCUGUUGACGGGGACGAACGUACGGAGUGCAAAUAGUGC